UUUCCUGCCCUCGAGGAGCUCACAGUCUAGUAUGUCUCAUCCCCUACUAGACUGAAGCUCCUUGAGGACAGGGAUGGUCAUACUCACCU
ensembl:miRNA